CUGCUUCUUCUCUAGUGCAUUGCUUCCCUUCAUAUGCGCUCUCUCAAUUUUCUAUCCAUAUUAGUCACAUUUUGCUAGGAAUAUGAUUUAUUGGUAUUGCAUUGUGUCUUGGGAAUUUCUGAAGUGAAGUAUCCAUUUGGGCGAAUCAACUUCAGAAUGUCAUUGCUCGUCUAAAGAUGUGCACGUUUCUAAGAGUACUGGACAUGGUGUAAUUUCAAACCCGCUAUCAGAUUGAUAUGAUGUUAUGAUGGCAUUGAGUGAUCAAGUAACAGAUUUACUUGUAAGAAGAAUCAGACCUUUCGUUUAUUUAUAUACCAAGAUGUGUAGAGUGAGCCUGCUUCAUUCGGUGGAUGUGAGAAUAUGAUCAGGUGACAACAAUACAAAUCA